GAUGAACGCUGGCGGCGUGCCUAAUACAUGCCAGUCGAGCGAACAGAUGAGGAGCUUGCUCCUCUGACGUUAGCGGCGGACGGGUGAGUAACACGUGGAUAACCUACCUAUAAGACUGGGAUAACUUCGGGAAACCGGAGCUAAUACCGGAUAAUAUAUUGAACCGCAUGGUUCAAUAGUGAAAGACGGUUUUGCCGUCACUUAUAGAUGGAUCCGCGCCGCAUUAGCUAGUUGGUAAGGUAACGGCUUACCAAGGCAACGAUGCGUAGCCGACCUGAGAGGGUGAUCGGCCACACUGGAACUGAGACACGGUCCAGACUCCUACGGGAGGCAGCAGUAGGGAAUCUUCCGCAAUGGGCGAAAGCCUGACGGAGCAACGCCGCGUGAGUGAUGAAGGUCUUCGGAUCGUAAAACUCUGUUAUUAGGGAAGAACAAAUGUGUAAGUAACUAUGCACGUCUUGACGGUACCUAAUCAGAAAGCCACGGCUAACUACGUG
rnacentral:rRNA from 1 species